AACGCAAAUUGCACUCUCUGGUAUUCCGGAGAGUAUGCCUGUUUGAGGGUCAAUUAAAUAAAAUCGGGCGUUUUUGAUGUCCGGAAUUGGGUCGUCAUGACCAUUCGGUUAAGUGACCUAAAAUUUUGUAUGAUUCUUACGAACGUAUUUAAAAUAAUUUACGUACGUUUUUGUAAUAUUCAGUUUUAUUAGAUGUGGUCAUUUUUAUGGUUCGCGUCUAUAAUUUCUCAUCUAUUGACCUCAAAUCAGGUAAGAAUACCCGCUGAACUUAA
rnacentral:misc_RNA from 1 species